rnacentral:rRNA from 1 species
GAUGAACGCUAGCGGCGGGCUUAAUACAUGCAAGUCAAGGGGUAGCAAUACACCGGCGUACGGGUGCGUAACGCGUAUGGAACCUGCCCUUAUCUGGGGGAUAACUCGGGGAAACUCGAGCUAAUACCGCAUAAGAUAGUAGAGAGGCCUCUCGUAGCUAUUAAAGAUUUAUCUGACAAGGAUGGCCAUGCGUAAGAUUAGAUAGUUGGCGGGGUAACGGCUCACCAAGUCUACGAUCUUUAGGGGCUCUGAGAGGAGAAUCCCCCACACUGGCACUGAGAUACGGGCCAGACUCCUACGGAGGCAGCAGUAGGGAAUAUUGGGCAAUGGGCGGAAGCCUGACCCAGCCACGCCGCGUGCAGGAAGACGGCCCUCUGGGUUGUAAACUGCUUUUAACUGGGAAGAAAGCAGCUCAUGCGUGAGAAUUUGACGGUACCAGUUGAAUAAGCCACGGCUAACUACGUGCCAGCCGCCGCUGUAAUAC